rnacentral:rRNA from 1 species
AGCGAACGCUGGCGGCAGGCCUUACACAUGCAAGUCGAACGGUAACAGGUCUUCGGAUGCUGACGAGUGGCGAACGGGUGAGUAAUACAUCGGAACGUGCCUAGUAGUGGGGGAUAACUACUCGAAAGAGUGGCUAAUACCGCAUGAGAUCUACGGAUGAAAGCAGGGGAUCGCAAGACCUUGUGCUACUAGAGCGGCCGAUGGCAGAUUAGGUAGUUGGUGGGAUAAAAGCUUACCAAGCCGACGAUCUGUAGCUGGUCUGAGAGGACGAUCAGCCACACUGGGACUGAGACACGGCCCAGACUCCUACGGGAGGCAGCAGUGGGGAAUUUUGGACAAUGGGCGAAAGCCUGAUCCAGCAAUGCCGCGUGCAGGAUGAAGGCCUUCGGGUUGUAAACUGCUUUUGUACGGAACGAAAAGCUCUGGGUUAAUGCCCUGGGGUCAUGACGGUACCGUAAGAAUAAGCACCGGCUAACUACGUGCCAGCAGCCGCCGUAACAC